rnacentral:rRNA from 1 species
AAAGGGUGCGUAGGCGGCCUGUUAAGUCAGGGGUGAAAGACGGUAGCUCAACUAUCGCAGUGCCCUUGAUACUGACGGGCUUGAAUGGACUAGAGGUAGGCGGAAUGUGACAAGUAGCGGUGAAAUGCAUAGAUAUGUCACAGAACACCGAUUGCGAAGGCAGCUUACUAUGGUUUUAUUGACGCUGAGGCACGAAAGCGUGGGGAUCAAACAGGAUUAGAUACCCCAGU